ACACCUCAACUCUCAUGGCCUGCCAUGAUGAGCUUGGAUUUUGGGGGUCUUGCCGGCGAAACCGUCGGCUCCUCUCAAACAAAUCAGCUUGCCAGUGUUUGGUGGCAUCACAGGUGUGAUAACUAUCUACGCUUGUGGUUCUCCACCAGGUAACCUUCAGCAAUGGAGGUUCGCUGGAGCUCACAGACGUCUCUCCUCAGGGAAGACAGCCUUUGAAC
rnacentral:misc_RNA from 1 species